GGGCACAUGGUGUAGUUGGUUAUCACGCUCGCUUAGCAUCGUAACACGUGAUGUGGUUAGCUCACGUGACCGUUGAAUGCGAGAGGUGUUGGGUUCAAUUCCCAAUGUGUCCA